rnacentral:rRNA from 1 species
CCCUUAGAUGUCCUGGGCCGCACGCGCGCUACACUGAGUGUCUGAGAUACGAGUCUGCCUGGUCCGGCAAGGUCUAGGUAAUCGCUAAAAGACACAUCAUGCUUGGGAUAGAUUAUUGCAAACAUUAAUCUUGAACGAGGAAUUCCUAGUAAGCGCAAGUCAACAGCUUGCGUUGAUUACGUCCCUGCCCUUUGUACACACCGCCCGUCGCUACUACUGAUUGGAUGUUUAAGCGAGGUUCUCGAACUGCUAGCGACUUAGCUUCGGUGAGGUCGCAGUGUGGGAAGUGAACCGAGCUUUGGUGUCUAGAGGAAGUAAAAGUCGUAACA